ACCCUGGUGGCGGAAUUGGUAGACGCGCAAGGUUGAGGGCCUUGUGUCCAUUGCGGACGUGCUGGUUCGAUUCCAGUUCAGGGUA
rnacentral:tRNA from 1 species